GGGUGGUUAGCUCAGAUGGUUCAGAGCGUCUGCCCCACACGCAGAAGGUCACUGGUUCGAAUCCAGUACCACCCA
rnacentral:tRNA from 1 species